rnacentral:sRNA from 1 species
GGAUGUGAGGGCAAUCUCCAGGGUUGAUUCAGCUGUUCUGGCUGACUAGACGGGUGUCCCCUUCCUCCCUCACUGCUCCAUGUGCGUCGUUCCUGAAGCUGCUUGCUCGGUGGAAGAGGAAGGCCAUCCCCAAUAGAGAAGGACUGGCUAUCAAGAACUGUGUGAGACUGGAUAAUUUAUAAAGAAAAGAAGUUUAGUUGGCUCAUGGUU